rnacentral:rRNA from 1 species
GUAAAGCGUGCGCNGGCGGUUAGAUAAGUCUGAAGUUAAAGGCAGUGGCUCAACCAUUGUAGGCUUUGGAAACUGUUUAACUUGAGUGCAGAAGGGGAGAGUGGAAUUCCAUGUGUAGCGGUGAAAUGCGUAGAUAUAUGGAGGAACACCGGUGGCGAAAGCGGCUCUCUGGUCUGUAACUGACGCUGAGGCUCGAAAGCGUGGGGAGCGAACAGGAUUAGAUACCCUGGUAGUCCACGCCGUAAACGAUGAGUGCUAGGUGUUAGGUCCUUUCCGGGACUUAGUGCCGCAGCUAACGCAUUAAGCACUCCGCCUGGGGAGUACGACCGCAAGGUUGAAACUCAAAGGAAUUGACGGGGGCCCGCACAAGCGGUGGAGCAUGUGGUUUAAUUCGAAGCAACGCGAAGAACCUUACCAGGUCUUGACAUCCCGAUGCCCGCUCUAGAGAUAGAGCUUUACUUCGGUACAUCGGUGACAGGUGGUGCAUGGUUGUCGUCAGCUCGUGUCGUGAGAUGUUGGGUUAAGUCCCGCAACGAGCGCAACCCUUAUUGUUAGUUGCCAUCAUUCAGUUGGGCACUCUAGCGAGACUGCCGGUAAUAAACCGGAGGAAGGUGGGGAUGACGUCAAAUCAUCAUGCCCCUUAUGACCUGGGCUACACACGUGCUACAAUGGCUGGUACAACGAGUCGCAAGCCGGUGACGGCAAGCUAAUCUCUGAAAGCCAGUCUCAGUUCGGAUUGUAGGCUGCAACUCGCCUACAUGAAGUCGGAAUCGCUAGUAAUCGCGGAUCAGCACGCCGCGGUGAAUACGUUCCCGGGCCUUGUACACA